rnacentral:rRNA from 1 species
AUGAGGGCGGUGAGCGGCGAGGUGGUCUCGUCGAAGCCGGUGGGCUUACACAAGGCCGCCCGCGUGUUCAGACGCUUCGCGGCCAGAGAGGCGUCAAGGCUGCCCGCCGGGGCGGGCGUGCUGGUCCUCUGCGCGGCCGAGGCCGCCGCCGAGCUCCACGCCUUCCGCUGCGCCCGCGUGGGCCCCGAUGGCGAGGCGGAGGUGGAUGCGGCACCAAGCGGAGAGGAGCGGCGCAAGAAGAGGAGGAAGACUGGGCGCGAAGGUGUGUCACUAGAGUAG